rnacentral:rRNA from 1 species
AGCGAACGCUGGCGGCAGGCCUAAUACAUGCAAGUCGAACGGCUCUUCGGAGCAGUGGCGGACGGGCGAGUAACACGUGGGAACGUGCCCUUUGGUACGGAACAACUGCGGGAAACUUCAGCUAAUACCGUAUGUGCCCCCAUUCUUAGCGGGAUGGGUGGGAAAGAUUUAUCGCCAUUGGAGCGGCCCGCGUUGGAUUAGCUAGUUGGUGGGGUAAAGGCCCACCAAGGCUACGAUACAUAGCUGGUCUGAGAGGAUGAUCAGUCACACUGGGACUGAGACACGGCCCAGACUCCUACGGGAGGCAGCAGUAGGGAAUCUUGCGCAAUGGGCGAAAGCCUGACGCAGCCAUGCCGCGUGAAUGAUGAAGGUCUUAGGAUUGUAAAAUUCUUUCACCGGGGAAGAUAAUGACGGCACCCGGAGAAGAAGCCCCGGCUAACUUCGUGCCAGCCGCCGCGGUAA